rnacentral:rRNA from 1 species
UACAGAGGUCUCAAGCGUUGUUCGGAAUUACUGGGCGUAAAGCGCGCGUAGGCGGCUUUGUAAGUUAGAGGUGAAAGCCCGGAGCUCAACUCCGGAACUGCCUUUAAGACUGCAUCGCUAGAAUCAUGGAGAGGUGAGUGGAAUUCCGAGUGUAGAGGUGAAAUUCGUAGAUAUUCGGAAGAACACCAGUGGCGAAGGCGACUCACUGGACAUGUAUUGACGCUGAGGUGCGAAAGCGUGGGGAGCAAACAGG